rnacentral:rRNA from 1 species
UACGGGGGGGGGCAAGCGUUGUUCGGAAUUACUGGGCGUAAAGGGCUCGUAGGCGGCCAACUAAGUCAGACGUGAAAUCCCUCGGCUUAACCGGGGAACUGCAUCUGAUACUGGAUGGCUUGAGUUCGGGAGAGGGAUGCGGAAUUCCAGGUGUAGCGGUGAAAUGCGUAGAUAUCUGGAGGAACACCGGUGGCGAAGGCAAUCCCCUGGGCCUGCACUGACGCUCAUGCACGAAAGCGUGGGGAGCAAACAGG